AACGAACGCUGGCGGCAUGCCUAACACAUGCCAGUCGAACGAGACCUUCGGGUCUAUUGGCGCACGGGUGCGUAACGCGUGGGAACCUGCCCUUAGGUUCGGAAUAACUCCCCGAAAGGGGUGCUAAUACCGGAUAAUUUCUUCGGACCAAUGAUUUAUCGCCUUUGGAUGGGCCCGCGUUGGAUUAGCUAGUUGGUAGGGUAAAAGCCUACCAAGGCGACGAUCCAUAGCUGGUCUGAGAGGAUGAUCAGCCACACUGGGACUGAGACACGGCCCAGAAUCCUACGGGAGGCAGCAGUGGGGAAUAGUGGACAAUGGGCGAAAGCCUGAUCGAGCAAUGACGCGUGAGUGAUGAAGGCAUUAGGGUUGUAAAGCUCUUUUAACCGGGAGGAUAAUGACAGUACCGGGAGAAUAAGCUCCGGCUAACUACGUG
rnacentral:rRNA from 1 species